rnacentral:rRNA from 1 species
AACGUAGGAGACAAACGUUAUCCGGAGUUACUGGGCGUAAAGGGCGUGUAGGUGGUUGUGUAAGUCUGGCGUGAAAUUUUUCGGCUUAACCGGGAAAGGUCGUCGGAUACUGCACAACUAGAGGACGGUAGAGGCGUGUGGAAUUCCGGGUGUAGUGGUGAAAUGCGUAGAGAUGUGGAGGAACACCUGUGGCGAAGGCGCCUUGCUGGCCGAUUUCUGACGCUGAGGCGCGAAAGCGUGGGGAGCAAACAGG